UAGCUGCACUAGAAACUGGGAAGAUGCAAAAAGUAUCACUCUUAAAUCAACUUGACACCAGCGAAAGUUCAUAUUUCAUAAAGAAGAAUUGAUAAUCAAAGACUGUGACUCGGGCUGCCUGUGGGUGAAAGCUGGGUUUCCACCACAGUUGAGAUACCAUGGGCAAGUUUUGCACUGGGGAGAAACUUAAGUUUUCUUACAUGAACAAGAAAACAGCGAAGAAGACACAAAAUGGAGCUCAUAAACCUCAUCCAGCCAGCAGAAGACACAAUGCUGUCAGGGUAAGAAUAAGCUGAAUUU
rnacentral:lncRNA from 1 species